rnacentral:rRNA from 1 species
AGUGAACGCUGGCGGUAGGCCUGACACAUGCAAGUCGAACGGACGCACAGUAAGCGUUUGCUCUUACGGGUGGCGAGUGGCGGACGGGUGAGAAAUACAUCGGAAUCUACUUUUUCGUGGGGGAUAACGUAGGGACACUUCUGCUAAUACCGCAUACUACCUACGGGUGAGAGCAAGGGAUCUUCGGGCCUUGCGCGUCAGAAUGAGCCGGUGCCGGAUUAGCUAGUUGGCGGGGUAAAGGCACACCAAGGCAACGAUACGUAGCAGGUCUGAGAGGAUGAUCGGCCACACUGGAACUGAGACACGGUCCAGACUCCUACGGGAGGCAGCAGUAGGGAAUAUUGGGCAAUGGGCGCAAGCCUGACCCAGCCACGCCGCGUGAGUGAUGAAGGUCUUCGGAUUGUAAAGCCCUGUUGUUAGGGAAGAAAAUCAGUGUAUGAAUACGUGGAUAUUCUGACGGUACCUAAACAGAAAGCACCGGCUAACUACGUG